AAUAAAUUUUUUUACUAUACAUUACAAUUCAAUAGUUAGAUGACAACUUAAUAAUUUUAAAUAUAAAUUUAAAGGUUACUCAAAUGUAUUUUAUCUAGUUAACAAAUCAAGUUUAUUGUUAAAAUUCAAUUAAUUAAAUUAUAUUAUGUAUGGAAAUAUAUUUUUAGUUACAUUUAUUAUUUUUUUCUUAAAAAAAUAUGUAUUAUUUGUUUGAUUCAAAAAUAACUUGUAAAUUUCAUUUUUUUUCUAUCUAUAUAUAUUAAUCAGUAUGUCAUACUAUUUUAAAAGUGUCAUAAUCAGGUGAUAAUGUUAUUGCCAUAUAUAUCCUUUACAUUGUUAAUAUAUAUAAUGUUACUGACAUAUAUACCAUUUACAUUGUUAAUGUAUAUUUUUAUUAUAUUAAAUAGUAAGCUUUUCAAAGUGAAAAAGUCCAAUAGUCAAAAUUAACAGCAUAGUAGUGCACGUGUUUGUAUUUCUCAUUGCUACUUUUUUAUUAAGUGUAUUAUUAUUUUAAAGUGUAUUUAUUACUUUUUAACACUCUAUUUAAUUCUCUCUCUUGAUAUUUUCAUCUUCUCUGCAACUUUCCUUUGAAAAUUUUAAUUUUCCUUUUUAAAACUCUCCAAUAAAUUGACUAAUUCAAUGCAAUCACUAUUACCAAUCUUACUAUUUCCAAUAAAUUGACUAUUCAACGCAAUUACCUCCUAUUAAUUUUAAUAAACUGAUUAUUCUUCCAAACCAAAAAACCUCUCAUAUACUUUAUCUCUCUCUCUCUCUCUCUCUCUCUCUCUCUCUCUCUCUCUCUCUCUCUCUCUCUCUCUCUCUCUCUCUCUCUCUCUCUCUCUCUCUCUUUACAACUAUUAUGUACCAGCAUGAUGUGAGUUGGGAAAUGACGAACACUACAAAUAGGAUCACCCAUUAGAUCAAUGACAAGAGAAGGCUUACCACGGCGGCCACCACCACCGAGUUCAUAACGGCGCUCAAGCUCCUCCACCGCCACCUUAUCUUUCUCUGAAUCAUAUUCUCGACAUGCACACUUCUACCAGGCAUGUUCUAACUCUAUUUUGGUGGAUUUGGGUUACAAAAUUCUCUCACACCUUCAAACGUCAAUUUUUUGAAUUGUAAAACAUAUUUACAGUAACUGAUUCUCUUGUUUUAUUUCAAUUAUUGGUAAAAAUUUCAAAUUUUAAGGGGUUCAUUUGUAUAUAAUAAAAAUAUGGAAAACUAAAUGUAUAUUACAUAAUUUUCUUUAAAUAUUAGUAUAAAAUAUACUAAAUAAAACUAUUUCAUAUCUA